UGGGGAAUAUUGCACAAUGGGCGAAAGCCUGAUGCAGCGACGCCGCGUGAGUGAAGAAGUAUUUCGGUAUGUAAAGCUCUAUCAGCAGGGAAGAAAAUGACGGUACCUGACUAAGAAGCCCCGGCUAACUACGUGCCAGCAGCCGCGGUAAUACGUAGGGGGCAAGCGUUAUCCGGAUUUACUGGGUGUAAAGGGAGCGUAGACGGCGAAGCAAGUCUGAAGUGAAAACCCAGGGCUCAACCCUGGGACUGCUUUGGAAACUGUUUUGCUAGAGUGUCGGAGAGGUAAGUGGAAUUCCUAGUGUAGCGGUGAAAUGCGUGGAUAUUAGGAGGGACACCAGUGGCGAAAGCGGCUUACUGGACGAUAACUGACGUUGAGGCUCGAAAGCGUGGGGAGCAAACAGG
rnacentral:rRNA from 1 species